rnacentral:rRNA from 1 species
UACGAAGGGGGCUAGCGUUGCUCGGAAUCACUGGGCGUAAAGCGCACGUAGGCGGCUUGUUAAGUCAGGGUGAAAUCCUGGAGCUCAACUCCAGAACUGCCUUUGAUACUGAUGAGCUUGAGUUCGGGAGAGGUGAGUGGAACUGCGAGUGUAGAGGUGAAAUUCGUAGAUAUUCGCAAGAACACCAGUGGCGAAGGCGGCUCACUGGCCCGAUACUGACGCUGAGGUGCGAAAGCGUGGGGAGCAAACAGG